rnacentral:rRNA from 1 species
ACGGGGAUUAGUUGAUAGAGAGCUUCGGCAGGAAAUCGAUUAAUUAGAGUGGCGGACGGGUGAGUAACGCGUGAGCAACCUGUCCCAGACAGGGGGAUAACACGUGGAAGCAGGUGCUAAUACCGCAUAAGACCACGGGAUCACAUGGUUCCGGGGUAAAAGGAGCAAUCCGGUUUGGGGUGGGCUCGCGUCCGAUUAGCCGGUUGGGGGGGUAACGGCCCACCCAAGCGACGAUGGGUAGCGGACCUGAGAGGGUGAACGGGCACAUUGGAAGUGAGAGACGGUCCGAACUCCUACGGGAGGCAGCAGUGGGGAAUAUUGGCCAAAGGGAGAAAGCCUGACCC